ensembl:lncRNA
AGGGGGGGAGGAUGGAAAUCUCCAAAAUGAGAAGCACGCCCGGAGCUCCGAUCACAGGAGAUCAGGGACACAGAAGACGGGGGCACUGGCGGCGGCGGCGGCGGCUGCUGCUGCUGCUGCGACGACGACGGCGGCGGCGGCGGCGGCGGCGGCGCUGGCGGCGGCUGCUCCUCUCAUGCUAGUGAAGAGGUCGGAGGUUCCAGUGGCGCCCUAGCUCAGCUCCGGGUCCCGGGGCGUUCCCUCCGGCUCGGCGCCUGCCUCGCUCCGGCUCUCCUUUCGUUUCAGAUUGAACACCUUGUGCGUCUGAGGUGGCAGAAGCUGCAGCCGGGCUCCAGAACGUCACUGGCCCUUCCCUUUUCCUAGCAGGGAAAUGAUGAGCAGAAAGCAGCCAAUCGCCGGACGCAGGGGGCGGGGGCUGCUGCUGCCUCCCUUUGCAGGCCCGCCGCUGCUUUUUGUAAUUGUUGCAUCGCCUUCCUCUCUCAUUGUAACCCUGACGGAGAGCAGGGCCACCCCGCUUAGCCACAGCGCACGUGGCGACUCAACUCUCGGGAAGUUUUCACAGCAGCCAGAGGCCGGGGCGCCGGGUGGUCGUCAUGUGUUCCUCCCGGAGAGAUCCCCUCUGAACUUCGAAAGGCAGUGCAGGUGCUUCCAGGGCUUCUCCUCAGCAGGAAUAGCCACCAGGAACUCUUCGAGGUUUCCACUAGGUCCAAGGCCUGGGUACAGGGAAGAAACACGAAAUUGAGCAGCCAGCCAGGAGCUUGAGGAACAAUUUCUGAUACAGGGGAGCAAGCACAACGUCUUUCUGCCGAGUGCUUCGACAGUGGAGUGCCAUUGGCACUAUAGAGCCACAUGGAGAAAUCCCUUCCCAACCUUUCCAAAGUCUAGCUUGGGUCUCAGUUAGAGGCUCAAAAAAGCAAAGGGCAGAGCCAUAUCUUAGUGGCUACUGAGAGGACUGCUAUUUCCUGACUCAGUACGCAAUCAUCUUCAACAGAAUACCCAGCUACUUGAGGACCAAGAGUCCAGGCAGAAGCCACUGUGUUACAAAAAUGUUUCUGUUCCCAUGUUGUGCAAUUCUUCCUCAAAAAAUAAUGCACACGUCCAGCUCUAGACAUCUUGCUUUCUCUGUGCUUUGCUUUAUGCUUGCAAAAAAACUAAGAGAACAUUUACUACUGAAAAACUUCAUUUUGCAGAGCACAUCUUGCCUGCCCAAGAAAAUCCAAAUUUUCUUCAUUAUACAAGUUCUCCUCUGCAUAGUUUUUUCUCCUCUUAUGCUGUUUUUGUCUGUUGUUUUGUUGCUGUUUUAAGAGAGGGUAAGGGGAUGAUCAGAGCUAAAAAUCAAUGAUGCUGCAUGCAGUGAUGACCAAGACUGCUGCUGUCAGCUGUGCUAAAAGGGGCCUAAUUUUUUGCUGUUCCCAGGCUCUCUGAAGAGCUCCAAUCCAUUCAUGAGCAUUUCUUUAUAGAUUCCUAAGAAAAGGUAGAUAUCAACCAGUUCCAGUAAAGUAUUCAUUUGCCAAUCUUCUAAAGGAAAGAAUACCCUAGAUUCAACCAAAAGGGUUGCUAAUUCUACCAACUUAAAAACUUAUUUUUGCUAGGAGUAUACUGUUCCUGCCAUAUAGCUUUGAUUUCCUCACAUUAUUAUUGGAUCUAAGAUUCCUAUACUGUUUCAGUAUUAUCCUCACAGCUUAGAGCAAGUAAUUAUGAAGUAUUAAUAACACUACAAGCAGCCCAUCAGGACCUCUUCAAGUUUAUUGAUGCUUAAACAAAUCUUCAAGCCUUGGAACAUUUCUGUUGCAGUGGCUGCUUCUUCUUCUUCUUUUUUUAGAAGAAACUAGAAGGAUAACAAUCUCAAUUUUCAGGUUAAAUCAUUGCCCAGAAAGUGUGACUGGUGGAAGGAUAGAGGGAAAGUAGGAAGCCAAAAUGUUGUGUAGAUAGUAUUUGGGCUUCUCUCAGGCAGCCUAACACUAAACCCUGAAAUAUAUAAACACAACAGUUCGACUAUAAGAGGAGACAAAGAUCCAUACGUUUUAAUCUCAUCAAAUUAAUUAAGCAUUUCCCUAAUUAAAAUAAAGGAAGUUUGGUAUAUUAGAUAAUGAGCUGG